rnacentral:rRNA from 1 species
GGGAUACGCUUCGAAAGGAGUGCUAUACCGCAUAUUCUCUGAGGAGGAAAGCAGGGGACCUUAGGGCCUUGCGCUGAUAGAGCGGCCGAUGUCGGAUUAGCUAGUUGGUGAGGUAAAGGCUCACCAAGGCGACGAUCCCUAACGGGUCUGAGAGGAUGAUCCGACACACUGGGACUGAGACACGGACCAGACUCCUACGGGAGGCAUCAGUGGGGAAUUUUGGACAAAUGGGCGAAAGCCUGAUCCAGCCAUGCCGCGUGAGUGAAGAAGGCCUUCGGGUUGUAAAGCUCUUUUGUCCGGGAGGAAAUCCUGGCCUCUAAUACAGGUCGGGGAUGACAGUACUGGAAGAAUAAGCACCGGCUAACUACGUGCCAGCAGCCUCGGUAAUACGUAGGGUGCAAGCGUUAAUCGGAAUUACUGGGCGUAAAGCGUGCGCAGGCGGUUUUGUAAGCCAGAUGUGAAAUCCCCGAGCUUAACUUGGGAACUGCGUUUGGAACUACAAGACUAGAGUGUGUCAGAGGGGGGUAGAAUUCCACGUGUAGCAGUGAAAUGCGUAGAGAUGUGGAGGAAUACCGAUGGCGAAGGCAGCCCCCUGGGAUAACACUGACGCUCAUGCACGAAAGCGUGGGGAGCAAACAGGAUUAGAUACCCUGGUAGUCCACGCCUUAAACGAUGUCAACUAGGUGUUGUGAGGUUAUACCUUUUAGUACCGGAGCUAACGCGUGAAGUUGACCGCCUGGGGAGUACGUCCGCAAGGUUAAAACUCAAAGGAAUUGACGGGGACCCGCACAAGCGGUGGAUGAUGUGGAUUAAUUCGAUGCAACGCGAAA